rnacentral:rRNA from 1 species
UACAGAGGUCUCAAGCGUUGUUCGGAAUUAUUGGGCGUAAAGAGCUCGUAGGCGGUUUGUCGCGUCGAAUGUGAAAACCCGGGGCUCAACCCCGGGCCUGCAUUCGAUACGGGCAGACUAGAGUUCGGUAGGGGAGUCUGGAAUUCCUGGUGUAGCGGUGAAAUGCGCAGAUAUCAGGAGGAACACCGGUGGCGAAGGCGGGACUCUGGGCCGAUACUGACGCUGAGGAGCGAAAGCGUGGGGAGCAAACAGG